UGUUUAGGGGUGGCAAAAACAUGGCUUGCUGACUCACGGCACGUAGGCCGAGUGCAACAGUAUAUGUGUGUGUCCAGUCUCUGUCUCCCUCUCGCCGUCUUUUGUUGUUUGCAUCUCUUGAUGCGCAGCUGCUGCUGCUGCUCUGAUGUUGUCCCUGAGCCACGGCCCAUUGAACCGCCUUUUAUUGGAUGACUCCUCCAUAUCAUGCAUACAUGAGCGGUAGUAUCUGUGUGUGUGUGUGUGUGUGUGUAUGAUGAUGAUAAGUAGGCAAAGCCGAAAAAUAAUUGAGGCUAAAGUCAAAGUCGCAAUUUCUGGAAUAUGUGGGAAUCAACAACAAUCAUGGGAGCAGAGGGAAAUGCCCUCCUACAAUUGCUUCUUAAAAUAUUUAUUUAAAAAUUAUUUAAGCAAACAACAACGAGAGGGGGGGUAGGCGUGGGCACUUUGACGUCAAACGGUAAAGUGCAAAGUAAAGAGACAUGGCAUGAGAGUGAAUGGUCAUGCACUCUCUCAGUGCAAAUUGGAGGAGGGCAAUGCCAGCGAAGGAGAAAGAGGGUACAGCCUCUUUGUUUUCACUCUUUUUUUUGCUGCGAAGUUGUGGCUCUUUGUUGCCAUACUGCUGCAAAGAGGCGCAACAAAGCAAAGCCUUGAAAUGUAAGAUGCGGGAGGGGCGGAUACAAGUGGAGCACUGGGGAAAAUACGAAUAUGCGGAUACAAACAAAACACAAACACAAACAUCUAUUUAUAACGCGUCGUCACAGCCACAACUACAACAAAUAGCACGCAGAGACAUAGCGUGUUAAAAAAAGGUAUAUCAAGUAAAAGAAAAUAGCUAUGCCGAAGCAAAACCAAAACAACUUACCGCCCAGCAAAUCUUCAGUCGAUUUUGGUGUCGUAGACAUUUUGUUUAGGUAUUUGUGUGUGUUUGUGGGUAUAUGGUAGGGCUUUCUGGGUUCAGAGUGUUCAACACUUGUACACCAAAAGAUAACUCGUUCUCCGCUGCUAUUUAUUCAGAUUAAAUUCAAAUUUAAUUUAUUCUUCUUGUUUUUGCCAGUCUUCUUUGAGCCCUUUUGUUAUUAUUCGCACGUUUGCCUGCUUGUGUGUGUGUAUUCGCUUUUUGUGUCAAUGUAUGAGUGAGAAUAUGCGUUUUACUUUUUGUUUGAAGCUGCGCUGAAUCUCCGUCUGUGCACUGGUUGAUUGAUACUAUUGUUUUCGUUCUAACCAAGCUAACAGCUUGCACUUUAAAUAUUGCAACUUUGUCCAAUGCUUAGCCGAAGCGCUCUCUUUUAGGAUUAAAAUAAACGGAAAAUCGUUCCGUUUAACAAAACAGGAAA